ACGAAGGGGGCUAGCGUUGCUCGGAAUUACUGGGCGUAAAGGGCGCGUAGGCGGCUUGGCCAGUCAGGCGUGAAAUUCCUGGGCUUAACCUGGGGACUGCGCUUGAUACUGCCAGGCUUGAGGCCGAGAGAGGGUGGUGGAAUUCCCAGUGUAGAGGUGAAAUUCGUAGAUAUUGGGAAGAACACCGGUGGCGAAGGCGACCACCUGGCUCGGUUCUGACGCUGAGGCGCGACAGCGUGGGGAGCAAACAGG
rnacentral:rRNA from 1 species